CCCUUAGACGUUCUGGGCCGCACGCGCGCUACACUGACCAGUGCAACAAGCAUCCGUCCUUGGCCGACAGGCCCGGGCAAUCUUUGAACGCUGGUCGUGAUGGGGAUAGACUUUUGCAAUUUUUGGUCUUCAACGAGGAAUUCCUAGUAAACGCAGGUCAUCAACUUGCAUUGAUUACGUCCCUGCCCUUUGUACACACCGCCCGUCGCACCUACCGAUUGAAUGGUCCGGUGAAGCCUCCGGAUUGGCGCGCACCUCGGUGCCGCCGAGAAGUUGGCUAAACCUUACCAUUUAGAGGAAGGUGAAGUCGUAACA
rnacentral:rRNA from 1 species